rnacentral:tRNA from 2 species
GGUUUCAUAGUGUAGUGUUCAUCACGUCUGCUUUACACGCAGAACGUCCUCGGUUCAAUCCCUAGUGAAACCA